AGUGAACGCUGGCGGUAGGCCUAACACAUGCAAGUCGAACGGCAGCACAGUAAGAGCUUGCUCUUACGGGUGGCGAGUGGCGGACGGGUGAGGAAUACAUCGGAAUCUACUUUUUCGUGGGGGAUAACGUAGGGAAACUUACGCUAAUACCGCAUACGACCUACGGGUGAAAGCAGGGGAUCUUCGGACCUUGCGCGAUUGAAUGAGCCGAUGUCGGAUUUGCUAGUUGGCGGGGUAAAUGCCCACCAAGGCGACGAUCCGUAGCUGGUCUGAGAGGAUGAUCAGCCACACUGGAACUGAGACACGGUCCAGACUCCUACGGGAGGCAGCAGUGGGGAAUAUUGGACAAAGGGCGCAAGCCUGAUCCAGCCAUACCGCGUGGGUGAAGAAGGCCUUCGGGUUGUAAAGCCCUUUUGUUGGGAAAGAAAAGCAGCAGGUUAAUACCCCGCUGUUCUGACGGUACCCAAAGAAUAAGCACCGGCUAACUUCGUG
rnacentral:rRNA from 1 species